GAGGGUAUAGCUCAGUGGUAGAGUGAAUGCCUAGCAUGCAUGAGGUCCUGGGUUCAAUCCUCAGUACCUCCA
rnacentral:tRNA from 1 species